UACGGGGGGGCAAGCGUUGUUCGGAAUUACUGGGCGUAAAGGGUGCGUAGGCGGUUCUCUAAGUCGGAUGUGAAAACUCUGGGCUCAACCCAGAGCCUGCAUCCGAAACUGGAGGACUAGGGUUCUGGAGGGAAAGCGGAAUUCCUGGUGUAGCGGUGAAAUGCGUAGAUAUCAGGAGGAACACCGGUGGCGAAGGCGGCUUCUGGACAGAUGACCGACGCUGAGGCACGAAGCUAGGGAGCAACAGG
rnacentral:rRNA from 1 species